CUUCUUGAUUAUUAUAAGAAGUCGUGCCUGCUCACUGAUUAAUUGAAGAGCCGCGGUAAUUUGACCGUGCAAAGGUAGCAUAAUAAUUAGUCUUUUAAUUGAAGGCUGGAAUGAAAGGUUUGACGAAAUAAUAUCUGUCUCUUAUUUAUAAAUUGAAUUUUAUUUUUAAGUUAAAAAGCUUAAAUGAUUAUAAGGGACGAGAAGACCCUAUAGAUCUUAAUAAUUGGUGAUUGUUUAGAAUAUAUAGAUGAAUAAAAUUUUUUUAAUUAUAUAAUUAUUUGAUUGGGGUGAUUAGGAAAUAUACUAACUUUUUUAUUAUAAACUUUGAUAAAAGAAUUUAAGAUCCUUUAUUAUGGAUUGUAAGAUUUAGAUACCUUAGGGAUAACAGCGUUAUUUUAUUUGAAAGUUCUUAUUGACAAUAAAGAUUACGACCUCGAUGUUGGAUUAAGAUUAUAAAUUGGUGCAGAAGUUAAUUUGGUUAGUCUGUUC
rnacentral:rRNA from 1 species